UAGUCUCGCACAGAUGCAUAUCAAUAAGCGGAGGAAAAGAAACUAACAAGGAUUCCCCUAGUAACGGCGAGUGGAGCGGGAAGAGCUCAAAUUUGAAAUCUUAAAGGGUUUCCCUUUACGAAUUGUAGUUUAAAGAAGUGUUUUCUGUUGAGGUUUUGGUAAAAGUUCUUUGGAAUAGGACAUCAUAGAGGGUGAGAAUCCCGUAUUUGACCUUUACUUUCAACUUUGUGAUACACUUUCAAAGAGUCGGAUUGUUUGGGAAUGCAGUCCAAAAUGGGUGGUAAAUUUCAUCUAAAGCUAAAUAUUGGCGAGAGACCGAUAGCGAACAAGUACCGUGAGGGAAAGAUGAAAAGAACUUUGAAAAGAGAGUUAAACAGUACGUGAAAUUGUCAAAAGGGAAGCGUUUGACACCAGUGUUGUUUUUCUGAAAAUCAAUUAAAGAACUGUUUAUGCUAAGCUGUUUAGACUUUAUCAGCUAAUCUGUUUAGUUUUGAGCUUUUCUUUAAUGCACUUUUCAGUUAACAAGUCAACAUCAAUUUCUUUUGCUGUAAAAAAGCUUGAGGAAGGUGGCUUGAGAUUCGUCUUAAGUGUUUAUAGCCUCUUGCCUAUGCAGUCGGAGAGAUUGAGGUCUGCAGCGUAGAUCCUUCGGGGCUAAAUGCAUUUGUGCUAAGUUAUAGCAUUUUAUAGACAACUUGUUGACUAUGAUUUGUCUUGUAGCUUACUCGCUUAUGUUAUUUUACCUACGCUUAGGAUGUUGAAGACUCUACAGAGAUA
rnacentral:rRNA from 1 species